UACGAAGGGGGCUAGCGUUGCUCGGAAUCACUGGGCGUAAAGGGUGCGUAGGCGGCUUCUUAAGUCAGGGGUGAAAUCCUGGAGCUCAACUCCAGAACUGCCCUUGAUACUGAGGAGCUCGAGUCCGGAAGAGGUGAGUGGAACUGCGAGUGUAGAGGUGAAAUUCGUAGAUAUUCGCAAGAACACCAGUGGCGAAGGCGGCUCACUGGUCCGGUACUGACGCUGAGGUGCGAAAGCGUGGGGAGCAAACAGG
rnacentral:rRNA from 1 species